AUUGAACGCUGGAGGCAUGCUUUACACAUGCAAGUCGGCCGAGUGGCGAACGGGUGAGUAACGCCUCGGAACGUUCCGCGUAAUGGGGGCUAACUGUACGCAAGGACAGCUAAUACUGCACAUUCUUGGAGCGGCCGAUGUCUGAUUAGCUGGUUGGCGGGGUAAAGGCCCACCAAGGCGACGAACCGUAGCGGGUCUGAGGGGAUGAUGCGCCACCCGUGGACUGAUACGCGGCCCCGUCUCCUACGGGAGGGCGCAGUGGUGAAUUUUUGAGAAUGGGCGCAGGCCUGAUCCCGCCAUGCCGCGUGGCUGAAGAAGGCCUUCGGGUUGUAAAGGACUUUUGUCAGGGAAGCGGUACCUGAAGAAUAAGCACCGGCUAACUACGUGCCAGCAGCCGCGGUAAUUC
rnacentral:rRNA from 1 species